UCUAAAAUUUGAUGCUAUAGUCAGUCUUCAAAUAAUUUUUUCGAAUAAAAUAAAUUAUUUCGUAGCUUAAAUAUACUAUUUUACCCAAUUACUGACAUCAAAAAUUUUUUUAAAGCAAAAAUUAAACUUCUUUCAUACAAUCACACAGAAAAUUUUCAUACCGAAUAAGUUCUGACGUACAAACAAAAUCUUAAAGAGUCAAAAUCAAAAUCUUUACUCUCAAUUAUAUAAGAAAAUUUUCAUACGGAAUAAGUUAUAGCAACAUCCAAACAGAAUCUAAAAGGGUACGGUGUAUGAGAUGUACUAUACACCCGGUGCAGGCGAUAAUAUCUCGUGCUAACUACUCGCUCUGACACGUGCCGUGGUCCCCACACCACAAAACCUCUCACACUGUGGCCCCCACCGCUGCGAGAGUCGAAGUCGUUAUCUUCGCGCCGCCGCCGCCGCCGCCGCCAAAUCCCUUCUCCGCCGCCGCCGCCGCCACAGUUGCCGCCGUAAAAACAAUAGUCCUAUUCCCCGCAUUCGCGACAUUCGCGACGUUGACAUCAAACUCGUCGUCGCCGACGUCGUCACCGCUUUCUCCUCCUCCAUAGAGAAACCUUUUAACAAUUCGCGCGCUCGGAUCCACCACCGCGGCCUCCCAGGCGGCGUCGGCGUCCCGGCCCCGCCUCCGGAACGCCUCCGUCGCGUCGACUCUGCGCACGUCCCACCGCGAGCACAGCCGGCGGAUCUUCUCCAGCUGGCAGCACGUCAGCUUGCACGUGUUCGCCUUGAUCUCGUCGAUCGCCGCUGCCAGCAGCCUCGAGCGCUCUUUCUCGUCCGACGUCGAUCGCUCCGACCGCAGGUACCCGUCCAUUUCCGGCACCCCUAUCGCCCUCCGCACCCCCUUUGUGUAAUCCGCCUUUGGAUUGGUAUCAAAUAGCGCUCGCACCUGAUAAAUAUAAAAUAUUAAAAAUAUUAUUUUUACGUACGUAUCGGAGAAAAUUAUUUAUUUAUUUAUUUAUUUUGUCCAGACGGAGCGAUAGAGUAAUCGGUUGUUUCACAAUAGCAGACACGUACGAUACCUCAGCUAUCAUCCCCCGCUCGACCAUCUGGUCGACGCGCUCCGCGACGAACUCGUGCAGCAGCGGCGGCGCGACGUCGACCCAAAGGAAGCAGCAGUCGAACCUGGAGGCCAGCCCCGGCGACGCCGCGUCGGUGCCGCCGCCGUCGAUCAGCUUCUCGAUGUAGGAAUUCGAGCCACCCGCGACGAUCGGGAGCCGCCCACACCGCGCGAUCGCUUCGGCCACGGCGGCCGCGUCACGGCAGAACUCAGCGGCCGCAUAGUCGGCAUCGGGCGGCACACCGCCGAUGAGGUGGUGCGGCACGCCGCGCCGCUCGGCAUCAGUGACCUUGUUGGUGACAACGUCGAGGCCAUCGUACACCUGCAUCUUGUCGGAGUUCACGACCUCGCCGCCGAACCGCAGCGCCAGGUCCACCGCCAGCCGCGACUUCCCCGUCCCCGUCGCCCCCAUCACCACCACCACCGCCUUAUUUUUCCGGCUCAUCGGAAACGACGGUCCGCACAUCGCGAUCGGCUCCGGCCAAACCGGUCGAAUUAUUCGCCGGCGAUCGGUUGCCGGAAUAAUCUGCAGGUUGUUGAAGUGUGCCAUUAACAUCACUCUCUCUCUAUAUGUACAUAUAUAUAUGAUGAUCCUAGGUAGUUCAAAGGAGAGUUAUAUCUAUAUAUAUAGCACUACAUACGUACAAAUAUAUACAUAUAUAUAGUUUCUGAAGAGUAUGAAAAAUAAUGAAGCACCUUGAAAUGAUUAGAAAUGAUAUGUAAAUGUAUAUAUAAGUUUAUCCUAAUUACAAAGGUGGACGCGGCGACCAGUGGGGAAAUUGGCUUUAGGGUGGUGGAUUUUUAAAUUUAAAUUUUCUAGGAUUAUAUUGUAACGGUCACAAUCAAUAUUGGGGGCUUUUGUUGAAGGAUGUAGAGUAGAGUGACUGGGACGAAAAAAUGGGCAUGGAUUUGAGGAGUCUCCUCCCUUUCUCUUGGCACAUUGGCUUAAGUAAUAAUGUGUGAGUGACUAGAACCAUCUUUUAUAGCCCCUAACAUUUACACUUUUUGCACCUUUGAUUAAAAUAAUUAAAAAUAAAAUAGAAAAUUGACACCUUUCAUACAAUUUGAAAAAUGAGUCAAAGCCUAAAGCCUAGACAGCUCUUAAAGGCUUUUUAGGAUUUAGGGUUUAAGGUUUAGACUCUUUAGAGUACUUCAAUGGACUGCUUGGUUUUCGGGAUUGUAAUGUUUCGGAGGACUUUAGCGACUCAAAAGCGUUGAACGUGCAUGAAUGAUUGGAUUAUUAUUGUAUCCGGUUAGGUCAAGUAAUUCCGCUACAAUGAUAUAAUCGAAACUCACCGAAAACAUCGGGAUCGAACAACUCGUUUCAAGAAGAUCAAUCUAAAAGAAAAUAAAUGAUUGCAAUGUUUUAGGAGAGUUUAGCAGCUGAAAGGCGUGGAAGGUGAAUGAUUGGAUUAUUUUAUCCAAGUUAGCUCAAGUAAUUCUUCUAUAAUGAUAAAAAUCAAAAUAUCACGUAAAACAUUGGGGUUGAACUACUUGUAUGAAAAAGAUCAGUAUGAAAGAAAAUAAUCUAAAAGUAUCUUUAACAUCCUGUUAACGUGAAUAAUAGAUCUGAAAGAUGCGUGAAAAACAACAUGAAAUUGGUAGAUUAGCGGCAGCUUAGGAUUGGUUUUGAUAUUAUAUUAACCAAAAAUAUCAAUCCAAUAGAGGUGGAAUGUUAACAAUAAGAGUCCUAUAUUGGAUAUAUGCAAAAUAGACUCCCAAGCUGUAUAUAAUACGUAGGAACGCGGGAUCUCGAAUAUCAACUAUCAAAUUCUUUGCCACUUGCACUAGAGACGGUCGGUAUAGUACAUAGGAUAUUUUUAUCUAUUAGCUUAAGUUUUUGGGUUGAAUAUGAGGCUCACAACUAAUACGACGAUGAAUUAUUUGAAAAAUAUUAAAACACACAAAGUUAUAAAAGGUGUUGCUUAGUGUGGUCAACCAAACCAAGAGAACUAAUUAAUUAACCACCCUACUGAUUUUAUAAUAAUGUUAAUUAAUUAGGAGCACUCACCUCCGCUUUAGUGUUCGGCAUAAAAAGUGUCUUUUGCAUUGAAUAUUGCUUAAGAAAAUUUAGGUAAAGAGUCGGGGGUCUAAUUCCUUUUGAUGAAUUAGGGUUUGUUAUCGCAGAUGUAGUGCUCAUCUCAUUUAAAACAAAUAUCAUUCGUGUAUAAGCAAUAAGGUGGGUACGAACAACAGGAAACCUUGUUGCAUAUAUAUAUAUAUAUAUAUAUAUAUAUAUAUAUAUAUAUAUAUAUAUAUAUAUAUAUAUAUAUAUAUAUAUGCACCCAGUGCACCAUGCACCAUUUCCUUGGAAGUGAGUGCUCCUAAUUGGAUGUGUUCUUGGAAUACAAAGUAGAACAGGUUUAUAGUGAGUUUUGCAACUAAAGAGAAAACAAAGUUCAACAUGAUCUAUAACGCUUGAAACAUUUAGAAAUUAAAUUUUAUGUUUUUUCGAUAUUAUUCUCUUGUCCAUCAAAUAGGCACAAAAAUAAACGACUGAAAAUGAAUAUCCUUUAAAAAAUAAUGAUAAGCUUGUUUUAAAGAAUUUAAUGAAUUUUUUAAUCAAAAUUCAAUUGAUAUGGAUAUUUUUACGCUGUUAAAUAAGAAAACGUCUUAUAUUGAUCAUUAAAAUUAUAAAUUUUAAAACUCUUUGAUCAUUAGGUCAAUAAUGUCGAAAAAAUUUAAAAUUUGAUUUUUAGAUACUUUAAGUGGUAUAAAUCAUAUUCAACAGUACUGACCAUCGAUUUGGGGACUCCAUCAUCGAAAAUAAAUGCAACGGAGCUCGUUUGCUACUGAUAGUAUUUCAACUCAACUCUCUCUCUCUCUCUCUCUCUCUCUCUCUACACCAAUAACUUGGUACUUUUAAAAGCAUAGCAGCUUAAUUUUAUAUAUAUAUAUAUAUAUAUAUAUAUAUAGGAUUAUUAUACUCUUAUAAAUUUAGACAUCUNUAUAUAUAUAUAUAUAUAUAUAUAUAGUACGCCUUCUGUGUUUUGGAAAGUACGGAAACCUUCGUGCUUGUAAGUUAUUUUCGUUGACGGGAUAUCCGAUUCGACGAUUGGCUUCAUUAAGUAUGAUUUAUGUUAUUAGAACUAUUUAGAAACCAAAUUUUAUAAUUUUUAGACAUCACGUAUCAAGUGAUCAAUUAAAAAAAUGACUAUUUUAACGGUCGAUGUGACACGUUUAUAAGUUCAACGGUAUAGAAGAGUCCAAAUUACAUGACACUUUAACAGAAAAUUCUACUUAAUAUCAAGAGCAAGAACAAUACUUUCAAUUUAAAAUUUAAGUCUUUUAUCAUCAUUUUUUAUAAGAUUUUUAUUUUCAUCUAUUCAUUUUGAGGCCACUCGUUCACUAAGCAAACAAAAUAAAAAAAAAUUAUAAAAUUUGAUUUCUAAAUAGUCCUGUGCCUAAAGAAGCCGAUCACCGAAUUGGAUGUCUCAUCAUUGAAACUAACUUAUAAGCACGAAAGCCUCUGUGCUUUCGAAAGAGUAGGAGCCUCUCUCUCUAUAUAUAUAGAGAGAGAGAGAGAGAGUUGAGCUAGAAUACUCUCAAAAGCACCAAGAGAGUUGUGCUUUUGAGUUUUUAGCCAUUGGAUGGAAAGAUAUAGGGUUGAGAUGAUGGUGGUAGGUGGAAUAGUGUUUAAUCCAAGGGCUAUUAGUAAUUAAGGAGUAGAUCCAAAGGAUAGAAACCUAUAAGUACCAAGGGGUUGGAGCUUCUAAAAGUAUUCUAGCUCAAUUUUAUAUAUAUAUAUAUAUAUAUAUAUAUAUAUAUAUAUAUAUAUAUAUAUAUUAAAAAGUCCGACUAUGGUGCUUGUAAAAACACCCAGUACUUAGUAUUUGUAAGUUUUUUCCCAUUAGAUCUAUCUGUUUGAUCAUUUCCACUCGUUAGAUCAUACUAUUCAACCAACCAUCCACUCAAUCCUAAAAAAUCACUAUCAUCCUAACUGCACUUCCUUUAAUUCAAAGAUCAAAAACCUACAAACACCAAUGACUUGUGCUUUUUAAAGUAUAGGAGUUCAAUUCAUAUAUUAAAUAUUAUAAAUUAUAUCUCUGUUUUAAAAGUACAGUCACCAAAUAAAUCAGGUGCAGGCAAUAAUAACCAACUUUUCACAUGAGAGAUGUUUGAGAGAAGCAGUGGGCAAAAAAGGAUUCUCCAUUACAUGAGUGGGUUUGCUACUUUCAUCAUCCAUUGUGGGGAGAAGACUACUUGUUUACAGUACCCAAGCUAUGAUUAGGAGUUGUAUUUUUUUAGCUUCAUCUUGUUUUAUCACUAUAUAUAUCCUAUCAAGGUGACCUGCUAUAUAUAACUAAGCAUGGUGCCAAUUAUCACUCACACAUAGGAUUGGAGUAUAUAUAGAGUACGACUGGAAUGCUUCUGGAAGUACGCAGCGCUCCGUACUUUCAAGUCGUUUUCGAUGUUGGGACUUUCGAAUCGACGAUCAGCUCCAUUAGACUUAAUCUAGAGUAUUUUAAGUAUCUGCAAAAUAAUUUUUGUGAUUUUUUGAUAUCAUUUGCCUAGUGAUCGAAGUGACUCAAAAUCAACGGCUGAAAAUAAAAAUCUUACAAAAUAUGAUGAUAUGACAUUAAAAUUUUAGGUUAAAAAUAUUGAUCUUGUUUUAUAUAGUAUAAAGAAUUUUCUAUCAAAAUUUCACGUGAUUUGAAUAUUUAUACACUGUUAAACUUGCAAACGGCUCACCACGGUCAUUAAAAUUAUUGAUUUUGAGCCCUUUCGAUCAUUAGGCAAAUGAUAUAAAAAAAUUACAAAAUUUAUUUUCUAGGUACUUCAAAUAUUCUAGAUCAAGUUUAACGGAGCCGAUCGUCGAUUCGAAUGUCCCAACAUCGAAAACGACUCGAAAACGACUUGAAAACACGGAAGGCUCCGUGCUUCCAGAAGCAUUCCAGCUCACUCGUGUGUGUGUGUGUGUGUGUGUGUGUGUGUGUGUGUGUGUGUGUGUGUGUGUAUUGUUUGAUUGAAUAAAGGAGAAAGAACUCUAGUUAUAAAUAAUUUAUUUUGUUGUAUAUAACUUUUCUAUUUAUGGAUUAUAUUAUUAUUAAACCAUAAAUUCGUACUAAAUUCUAAGUAUCCGAUAGUUAAAAAAUUGAUAGUAAAUACUAUUCUUAUACAAUCAAACCUAUUCUAGCUCGCUCCACUUACAUGCUUCUCACGGUAUAAGCAGUUAAAUUAAGUUGUACCUAAGUGAAUUAAAAUUGAUAGUAAAUACUAUUCUUAUACAAUCAGUACUAUUCUAGCUCGCUCCACUUACAUGCUUCUCACGGUAUAAGCAGUUAAAUUAAGUUGUACCUAAGUGAAUUAAAAUGAUAUAACUAGAGGGCGUUUUGAUUGGGUACAAGAGGGGGAAUAAGGAGGUUAUCCCCCCUCUUAUACCCAAACACAAUUUUGGGUGGGUGGAAACACUUGUUCCCACCCAUACCGGGUUGUACUGGUACACCCCAGUACGGGUGGAAAGAAGUUUUUUUUUUUUUUUUUUUUAAUUUUAUUUUUUUUUUUUUUUAGAUACAUAGCACGCUACCUGCUUCGUUUAUUUUAUUUAGAAAUAAGCUUAGCUGAAAAUGUGAAUCAAUUAGGAUUCGAACUUGAGUUUCAAAUACCAACCACUAAGCCUUUUGUCGCUUGCUCUAGGGACGGUCGAUAUAGGUGGGAAUAAGUUGUUCCCACUCCCCGGUAGAGAGAGAGAGAGAUUUUUUAUUUUAAAUUAGAAUUUAAACUUUUAAAAUUUAUAAUUUAAAAUUAUAAAUUUUAAAGUUUAAAUUUUAAAUUUGAUAUUUUUAAAUUUUAAAUUUUAAAUUUAAAUUUUUAAAUUUUAAAUUUUAAAUUUUAAAUUUUAAAUUUUAAAUUUUAUAUCUUUCAAUUUUAAAUUUGGUCUUAAAUUUAAAUUUUGAUAUUUAAAAUUAAAAUUUUGAAAAUUAAAAUUUUAAUUUCAAAUUUUAAAAUUUAAAAGUUAAAAUUUUUAAUUUUCAAUUUCAAAUUAUAAGUUUAAAAUUUAGAAAUUUAAAUUCAAUUAUAGGGGUAAUAUUAUUAUUUUUUAUUUAUAACCAUUAAUUAUUUCUCUUAUUCCCAAUAACCAUCCAAACACAAUUUUUCUAGUUCCAGCUUAUACUCACAUUUUCAUCCAAAUAAAAAAAUACUCUUAUUCUUACAAAAAUUCAUACUUGUAUCUAUUUCUGGAAUAACUAGUUUCUACUAAUUCCCGAGCCAAACAAAUCCUAGGGUUUCUUUGAAUGAAGUGAUUGACAAUAUAUGUCUGUUUGAUUGAUAUGAUUUUAAUUAUUUUGGUGUGUCUAUUUCUAGUUAUCAACUGACACAUGGAUGAAUGAUAUAGAGGCUAUCUUUUGUAAAAGCUUGGUGGAUUUUUUGUGUAAUACUGAAUGAAACAGUUGUUCCUUUUUGACCAUGGAUACUGGCAUGGCCUGCGAGUUAGGGAAAUUAAACUUUAGGAUUGAUAAAAUGUGAUUUUCAUAAGGUUUGGCCUGUACAAAGGGAAACACAAUAGAUGAUGAUAUAUUUGCACUGAUAAAAGAAAUAAAAACAAUAUAUAGUAAAUUAGAUCGAGAAACUUCAUUUUAUUUGAAAGUAGAGCCUCAAAUUUUGAAGAUUUGCAUUCAGGUUCAACUAAAUUAGCAAUCAUUGUUAGAUUUAGUAUAAUCCAACGUCUCCUCCGUGGCUCUUUGUCUCAUAUCUUUUUCGAUCUCUUUCACUCCUCAAUAUACCGAUCAAUUCCAUUAUUUAUUUUUUAUCAGCGCACAUAGUAUGGUUUAAUUGAUGUUUUCUUAUCCCCUGUUUGCAAUGGUGAAACUAGUUCUAAUGAGGUUGUUUUAUAUCAUAUCAAUCAACUCCAUAAACGUGACAUUUAAUCUUUUACUUUCUGCAGUAGCCAAUUACGUCCUGACUCCUCAAAUUUGGAGACGUCUGCUGUCAAGACUUUUGUUACUUCUUUGGAAGAAGCCUGAAAGCAAUUUAUAUUUUAUACCACCGCAUAUUUUGUGCGUGUGUGACAUUCAAUUUUUUACUUUCCCCGGCAGCCAUACCUACCGAUGGAGAAUUUUUUGAGAUGCCUACUGUUAAAAUUUUUACUUUACUUUCCUAAAAGAAGCCUAAAAGAUGUUUACCACCGUAUUGUGUGAAAUUAAAUAGUAUUUACUAUCAAUUCUGUGGCCCUAAGAUUCGGAAUGUCGAUGGAUACAGAUAUCCGAAAUUUUAAUCCAAAAUUGAAUCUAAACAAAGCAGAAUUAUCAGAUGCUAAACGAAUAUGGUUUCGGAUAUGGAUGUCAAAAAUAAUAUUCGAUAGAUAUGGAUUCGGAUGCGGAUUUUUACUGUACUCAAUACGAAUCUAAACUCGAGACGAACCUGAAUCCAAACCCGAAUUUAUUUACGUUAAAUAUAAUAUGUAUAUAAAAAUUUGAUGUUAUAUUUAAAUUUAUAUUUUAAAAAUUUAGAUUUAGUGUAAUAUAUUUUAAAAUAUUGAAAAGAGAAAUAAUUAUUUCGGGUUCGAAUUUUCGGGUUCGGGUUCGAGUUUUGAAUUUUUGGUUGGAUUCGAAUUUGAAUGUAGAUUUUUAAAAUCCGUCGGAUUCCGGUUUGAAGUCUGUUCGGGUUUCUAAAAAUCCGCCCCAAAUCUAGCUCGCUAACAUCCCUACUUAUGAGUAUUCCAUCUACCCUCGUUAAACCUUAGGCAUCCAAAAAGUAAAAAAUUGAUAGUAAACAUUUUUCUUUUACUAUCAAUAGCAUCCAUGACUUCGUACUAAUUAGCCUCUUUAAGGGGCCGUUUAAUUAGAUGUAAUUAUAAAUGCAGUGUAGUUAGAAAUACAUGCAGUUGAAAAUACAAUAAUUAUAACUACAUGAAUCUUAAUUGGUUGAAUAUAGUAGAAAGCGUUACAAGUAUAAAUAAUUUGUUUGGUUGCAUGGAGUUGAGAAAUAAUUUUUAAAAUUUUAUUAUUUUAUAUAUAUGAUGGUGAGAUUACCUCCAAUGUAAAAAAAAAAAAAAAAAAAAAAAUUGUUUGAAAAAUAUUAAGGAGAUAAGCAUAUCUUUUAUUUGAAGUUACUCUCUCCAACUGCUGUAGUUGGAACUACGGCCAAUUUGGGCGUAGUUCGAACUGCUGUAAUUGAACCUUCUCCUAUAGUUCCUACUGCAGCAGUUGGAGUUAAAUACAUCCAACCAAACACGAAAUUUGCAUUUACAUAUAGUUACAACUGCAAUACAGUUGCAGCUACAUACAACCAAAUGACCCUAAGUGUUUUUUAAAAUACGUUUUCACUUAAGAAUACCAUAAGACUAUAAUUUAGCUGAAAUAUAUUUUCUAGACAAUUUACGAUUGUGAAGAUCCAAUAAUAGAUUAAAAUCAACCUGAUAAUUUACAAUCAUGAAAGGAAGUUUCGUGCCGCAGAAGUUCACUUGUUCCCAGUCCAAUAAGCUACGAAAUUAAAGAUACAGAGAAUUUAAUUACAUCAAAUGACACAAAGGAGAUACAUUCAAAUGAUAGAAAAUGACCAAUUUAUUCAACACGAAAUUAUCCCAAGUUGAUAGGCAAAAAAAAAACAGAUAAUAAUCGCAUUAAUACAAGGAAUUGGAUAGAUAAAAAAAUGAACGGACACAAAAAAUUAAAGUAGAUAUACAAUAAUAAAUGAGCCAUGUUUGAAUGUUGGAAUAUGUUAACCAGGAAUAACAUAUUCGGUAUGAGAAUCUUCGAGUAUGAUCGUAAGGAGUUUAAUUUUGACUUCUUCAAAGAUCUUGUUAUCCACGAUUUGAUGUGACCGUAUUUUACUUAAGAGGUGAUUUAUCUUAUUCUAAAAAAAUAACAUGAGGUCGAAUAUGAUAUUUCAUUAUAAAUAUUUGAUCAUACUCCUAUCUACCAAAUCUACAAAUCUAAAGAAAUUUACCAAACUAUGGAUCCAAACAGGGCUGAAAUGUGUUUCUAAUGCCACGGAUCAUCCCAUCCUUUUGGCCCCUCCCUCUUAACAAAGUCCAAGAUGGCCAGAACUGUUUCUUGAACCCUAUUGGAGAGAGAAUGGUUCCCCCAUUCUAUUUCGACUUUCUCCGCGCCUCCCAUUGCUUGGCAUAGUCUACAAUAAAGAGCUCAUGUUAAUAACUCUAGUAGAAAGCUUGUUAUCAAUACUACUGCUUGUGAGAGUUACAAAGUGUCUUCAGCUUGCCUUUCUACUAGUGCUUUUUUAUCGACAUACUCCGGGACAUACUCAUCUGCCAUGGAGAAAAUAACCUGCAAAAACUCACUCUUAAAACCAUGUACUUCAUGUUUUUUAAUACCCCAGAAAAAAGAAGAGAAAGGGACGGAAUUUUCUAUAAAAUUCAAAAGAGGUACUAGUAAUCUUGAACAACAAUCAAGUAGCAGUUCGUUGCAUUUGCGAUAACUACUAUCAAGAGCUGAAAUGUUUGUUUAGGUUUCUCCUACCUGUUUUCAAUUCGACAUUCUAAUGUUCGAUUCUUUUACUUACUACAAUCCAACCUAAAAUUGAUUCCCCGAAGCCAUGAGAAAAAUGACCAGAAGGAUAAAGAUGUGGAGCGGGAUAGUGUUUACUCUUAAAUCCUAGAUUCAAAGAUGGUUUUCUCGAAAUCAGAUUAACGAGGUAGAUUGAUAUUAGAAAUAACUUAUAAUAGUAGAGUCAUUGCAUCAGAUUGCUUCUUUGAAAUAGAUUAACAAGUACUGACCAUCAUAUCCCUAAAUUUUGACAUAAAUGGUGGUUCAAUAGAGUACAUAGUCUUUAUCUAAACAUACCUGGCAAGGCGUACUCGACAUAUGACCAAGUCUCUGUCUCAAUUGGUCCUCACUAAGAUCUGAACUGAACAUAUCAUCAUCCCCCAUGUAUGCGGAAAGAGAGUGGUACCUAGAUCCCAAUGGAGAUAGACUAAUUAUAUAUUUUAACAUAUAUAUGCAUAUAACAGCAAACAAAGAAGGCGCAUAUUCUUACCAAAAUCAUUACAGAGUACUGGCAUUUCCACAAUAAAACAAAACAUCAUCAAGUAGUAAGUUGUCAACCUCAGUAAUUACUGAAUGAGACCCCUUAUGGGACAUUAGCUCAAUGACAGCUAGAUUUUAACCAACUAGGAUUAAGAUAAUUUCCAGUUACUACAAAAAUAUUCAGUGAACUUUUUUAGUAAGAUUAUUCAACUCAAUACUAAAGUUGUCGAUUCAACUUGAAACAGAUCGUAGAUACAGUGAUGGCAGAUGGACAUUCUCUUUCGUGAUCAAUUCCAGUUCUUGUGUGAAGGCACAUGGCUCUUAUCACUCUCUUUUACAGGGAUAAUGUUGUUAAAAAGCUUACUCUCUCUUUUACAGGGAUAAUGUUGUUAGAAAGCUUUAUAGCACAAAUCAGAUUUUCCACAAGAAAAAAAAAUAGAUAGCAAUAAACAAUUUUUGAUCCCUGAGAUCAAUAUUUGUUAGAGAUGACAGAUGCAAAGGGUAAGAAUAGGUAAGCAGCAUAUAUGUUGCUUUUUUAUACAUGGUUAGACCCUUAUUUGCUCACAUUCUUCUAAAAUUCCGAAAAGGUCUGUUUGACAGCCGAGUAUCUGACUAACCCAUGUCAAGUCAAUCGUUUGGGUGGAACUGGGCCUGGGCCUAAACAAGGCCCGGCCCGAUGGGCCAUGUUUGGGCCGGGCUUUGGGUAUUAAAAACUUAACUUUGGGUUUGGGCCGGGCUUCAAGAUUUAGGCCUGACAAAAUUUUGGGCCUAUUUGGGCAUGUCCAAGCUAGGCCCGAGCCCGACCCAAAAGCCCGAUAUAUUAAUUAUUAAAAUAAAAUAUUUAAAUAUAUAUAUAUAUAUAUAUAAUGUUUAUUUAUAAAAAGAAUAAAUGAUAUAGUAUAUCAUAUAUAGUAUAUAUUGUUAUUAAUGAUAUAGUAUAUAGUAUANAAGUCGCGAGCUAGAUCCCUACUAGUCGUGUCGCCGUACUAGAGGAGUACCCUUCGCAGGUAGUUUUGAGGUGUUUUGGUUCAUGUAUAUACCUUACGUUUUGUUUACUCGCUGGAGCGAGGUGUAGUUAUGAGUGUUGUAUGUACAGUGAAUCCUUAGCGUUUAUAUAUACAUGCGUUAAUUUAGCAGCUCUAUACUUCUAGUUGUAGCUAUGAUUUGAUUACAGGUACAACUAUCGUUUUGUAUACACGAAAAAAUUCCUCUGUAUACGGCGGGUCUGUUGGCGCGCCCGGAAAAACGUAGUAGUUCAGGGUGUGACAGUGAUUAAUGAUAUAUAUUUAUAUAUAUGAGGAUAUAUUAUAUAUUAACAAAAUAUUAGUUCCAUAUUAGGAUAUAUUAAAUAGUGUUAUUAUAUAUAAUUAAUUAAUUAUACAUAUCUAUGAGUAAAUAUAUGGUACAUAUUAUUAUAUAUACCUAAUUAGUUAUGCACAUAACACUUACUAAAUAUAUACUAUUUUAAAAUUUUUAAAAAAAUUAAUUAGACGUUCUAUGUACAUAACUUAAGGAUAAUUUUAAAUUUUAAAAUACUACAACGCUUCUUUAAAAAACUAUAUAUACCCUAAUUAAUUAAACGUUCUACUCUUAUAUGAGAAGUUUCUAUUUUAUAAUUUACUUUGUAGGAUUGCAAGCAUCGGAGUAGGAGUGAAGAUUGCUGAAGCACAUCUUUUACUUGUCUAAGUCUUAAUUUUAGUUUAUUAAUUUUCUUUGUUUAGUCUUAUUUUAUUGAUGGAUAAUUAUUGGUAGACAUUAAUGGUAUUAUAUUUGAUGUUAGAUAUUAAUUUCUUUGAUGUGAUCUAAUCCUAGUAAAAAUAGGUAUUUUAUUUUAAUUUUAUACAAAUAAAAGUAUUUAUGUAUUAUAUGAUAAAUGUAUAAAAUGGGCCUUCACAAAGCCCGAUGGAUAUUGGGCAUUGGGCUUGGGCUUGGGCCGGGCCGUAAUUUUCAAAAAAAUUGGGUAAAAGCCCGACCCGAAGCCUAACAUUUUCUUUUGGGCCGGGCUUGGGCAUAGUAUUACCCGACCCAAGCCCGGCCCAGUUCCACGGGAAAUUCCCGGUAACCUCUUGUACUACUUGUCUAAUGUUAGUCAAAACCUUAAGCUUGCAGUUUUUACUUUUCCUUACAAAGUGUUGAAAAACUUAAAAGUAAAAUAUCAGCAGUGUAAAUAAUAUCAACUAGAAAGUACCAAUAAGAAAAUCAUGCAUUUAUAUUUUCUGCAGAUAUGGCACCAUAAUAACAUUCACCUGUAGGCAGUAAUCGGAGCACCUGGAUCUGCUUCCCUUGGCAUUAAAUCCAUUGCCCUACCUUCACUAAUCAUUUUUGCAGAUAAGUCAAUCAUUGCAGCAGUUUCUGGAAGAGUUGCUCUAUAUUCCCGAUCACUGACUGGGGCCUGAUAGAAAUUCAUGUCAAAAUCAGCCAAAUUGAGAAAAAUAAUCAUAAAAGGUGUUCUACAUUUCCCAAACAUGUUGUCACAAGAUGAGUGCCGGGAGAAGUAAAAGAUCAUGACCUCUCAAUCCUCAAAAGAAACAAAAGUAUUGACGUCUAAGCAAAAAUUUGGAAUAUUGGCAUCUAAAAGCUUUCUGAAUUUACUGAACCUAAAAUGGGAGGAGACAUGCAGAAUAGGUCAUCACCUGCAAAAUGACUCCACGAACUGCUCUGGAACAUGAAAAAUUUGUACGCAUGUAGUGAACAAUAUCCUGCAUACAUUGGAGUAAGAUGGUCCUAUUCUGUGUUAACUUCAGUAGAUAACGGAUUGUAAAGUAACAUUACGGGGCAAAAAAUUAAAAUCACCUGGCAACCAGUACUGUGACCAAGUAGCACAACACCUUCAGAGUUCUCCUUGUUUAUCAAAUAUCCAAUUAGCUGAUCUAGCUCCACUGCAUCCUUUUAUAAAUAAUAUUACAUAAUUAGCACAAGGAUAUCCAUAUGCCAAGAUACCAAGCAUUAUGUGAAAGGAAGGAGCUAAGAUAUGAUUAAGCUAAAAUUUAGCAACUGAUAAAACAAAAGGUGAUAAAGAGUACGCAUGUCAAAAGGAUAUUGAAUCAGCCCAUUGAUCUUAAGCUAAUUAGUAAGUGCGGUUUUACUAUAAUCAAAUGAGUUGAUUACCUUAUCUUGAUUUUUUAUAUCAAAUCUUCAGAUAUAAAUGGAAAUCAGCUAAUCUAAUUGUUACAUCUAAUAUAUCAUCGGUAAAAAAAAUCCCAACUCCAAAAUCAACAAUCGAGUUACAUUAUUUGAUACUGAAUCAUGCACGACCCUAUCCUUAUCAAGACUGAACUUUAAAGAUCAAGUCUGAACCUCACACACGGAAUCAUUGAUCUUUGCUAGUCAUGGAAAUGCAUAAUCAUGGCAUUCGAAUGCCCUACAAAACAAGUAAAGUACUUGAAGCAAUCACGAAAGAUGACGAAUCCAAACAUCAGAAUAGAUCACCAAGAUCGGAUUUGCCAAGGCACAUGCCAUAGUGGUCAUGGUGGUCACUUUCUAGAACGCAUGAUUAAGAUUUUAUAGCUAGUUUGUAAUGCUCAACAAAGUUAUCAAAUUGAUCUGUAGGGAUAAAAGAGAAAUUUCUCGACAGCUUAACGAAUUUAUUGCAUUCUUAUAGAGAAAAUUUAGUAUGCAACCAUACUUUAGUACAAAGGGUACCAAAUAAGCUGCCAAUUAGUUGCUAUUGUUAAGUCAGUCAUCUGAGGUAACAAGAUAAUAUAUUACUAUAUUAGCAAGCGUCUUCUAACAAUAAGUGGUAUUAGUUUUUCUAUUGAAAGAAUCAACUCUCUGUUAUACAAAGAUUGAUGAAUAAAAACCAGAAAGGAAGAAAAGAUCUGCAAUCAAUUAAUGAGCUAUACUUGCUCUAAGCUGGAGGUGCCAUAUCCAAUAUAAGAUGAAGACAGCAAGGGUUGCACCAGGGACCAUUUUUCAUUCUCCAAAGCUAACGAUAAAGGUUCCAAAUACCUGAAAGCAUGUAGUUUUCAGAUCAAGCUGUCAGAAAUAAUAAAUAUUUUCCUUCGCCAACUAGUAAUAUUGUUAUCUUUGCCAAUGGAAGAAACAACAUAACCAGCCAGAAGUUUUCUCUAGACAACCAUGUAAGUCAAGGCCUCAUUUGGUAUCGUCUUUAAGGUAUAGGAGUGGACAAUAGAUUGCUUGCCUUUCAUCCAAAGUGUUUAUUUGGCAACGAAAGACAAAAAUAUGAAAAUAAUUUUUUUCUUUCAAUUUUUUUUUAAAAAACAAGUUGUCAUUUAUCACUUAGCUAGAUGCAUUGUAAGCUAACUAUAACAACAAAAAAAAAGUCUUUCCUCAUCAAAUUAUAUAGAAUUAGUAUUUAAAAAAAAAAAAAAAAAUGGCAACAGUACCAAACGAGGCCUAAGCUUGUCAAAUUUAGAAUUGCAUAAUCACAAUACCGUCAACUAGCUAAACUAAAUGAAGUUAAUGGCAACAUCAACUUUUAUAAUCAGAAUAUUCUUUUGGGAUAACAUCUACCAUAGUACCAAGCAGACCACAUGAAUGAGGCCCUGUCAGCAAUGAUAUAAGACUUACAUAUUGGAGUUAAAGAUUUGAUGAGCUGCAAAGAAGCUAAUGUGGUUUUACUCCGAAUUUUAGCUGCCUAUCCAAACUUUUGUGGAAGUGGAACAACUUAAUACAAAAGAACAGCUCAUUAGACUGUGCUAUAUUGGCAUAAUGAGAUUCUUCAAGCCUUAACAUGUUCUACAAAUAUUGGUCCUAAUGGUAAAAGUGACAAUUUGAGUGCCUCCACAUGAUGUUCGAUAACACUACAUACAUUGUAGGCAAGCUUAUAAUUCUGGAAGUAAAGCUAAAAAAACGACAUCUAUUCACACUCAUUAAACAAGUUAUCCAUAUCGACUUAUUCCUUUUUCCUUUUUUUCUUGAACAUAACAAAGAUAGCCUUAGUUCUGUAUGGCAUGAAACCUUUCUUAAACAAGGAUAAAACUCUGGUGAGUUCAAACAAAUAUCCAUGAUAGUAAUGAAAGAAACAAGGUGCAUAAGACCUAUGAGAGUAAAGAAUCGGAAAGCAAGGUGUCGGAAAUAGUUUGCAUAGAGAUUUUCUUUUGUUAUUUUAUACUAAAAAUAAAGCAUCAAUAAGCAUAAAUAACAUACUCAGUCGCUAGAAAUCCAUCAGUCAAACCACCAAUGAAGAUAACUUGUUGAUUGAAGUCACCAGUUUUAAAUGCCACCUGCAAGAUAUAAAUUAACAAAGUUUCAAGAAAACAUAUAAGUGGGAAUAAAGUUAAUCGAUGCAAAUGGUAGAGAUUCCAUAUUGUGCAAGAAGCUAAUGGAGGAGUUAAAGAUUUUGGUGUGCCCUUAGUUGAGACAAACUAUAUGUGACAAGUAAUGCACCAAGUCAUAAAUUUAUGGUCAGUGAUAUUUCUUUAUGUUUUAUAGGCCUCGAGAUCAUACUAGUUAGAAAUUACAAAGAAUGUAAAGUUGAAAUGUCCAUGGGUAGGAUGAAAGCAAGAAUUUAAGUGCCGUGGUACGGGAUCGUGCCGGAAACUUACCAGCACGGUACGACACGGUGCGUGCCGAGUCGUGCCGAUGCGUGCCGGUCAAAAAAAUUCUUGUGUACCGACACAUAAUAGUAUGAAAUAUUUAUUUUCUUUAGCAACAAAAUAUUCUAACUAUUUAUUAUGUUUUUUUAUCACAUAUUUUGAACUUUAUUGAGGAAAUUACUUACUAAUUUAAAAAAUAGAGGGUUUUGAGCUAUGUCAUUGGCACGGAGUCUGUAUCGUGCCGGUAUCUUGUUGGCACGGUACAGCACGGUGGAUACGGCCCGUGCCGACGGGCACUUUAAACCUUGGAUGAAAGUAUAGUUUGAAGCAACAACACUCGUAAAAAGAGUCGAAAUUAGGAAGCACCUAAAAGCUGGUGCUAUAGACAGGUUGCAAAGCAGGCUUCCAACCGCUAAACAAAUAUUGAAAUAUUUUGGAAGGAAAGAGAACAAUAAAGAGCUGUCCAAUUCAAGAUCACCACUAGCACCCAGCAGGAGAAAACAGUUCUCAGGUUCUUUAUAGGCAUAAAAGUAAAAUGUACAUAGUGGCAUAGUCUAGGUUCUCUUUGAUUUCAACUUGAGUUGCACCCCAGAAUUCGUAGGAACACUUUUUCGACUGUGAUAUGAACGCAUAGCUACCAUAAAUGAAUGAUGAAUCUUUUCGUCCUUUUUGUUUGAGAAGAAAAUCAUCCUCCAAGUAUGCGGGUUUGUCGGAGCCCAACUUGUUCAUUUUAUUCUAAUUUUCAUACUACAAAAUUACGAGGGACCCAACUAAAAAAGCACAAAUAGACAGUAAAGCCCAGAUCUCCAAAGAAAAGGUAUAUGUUCUACCAUAUUCUUCCCACGCUUUAGGCGGACCUGCAUCUCAUUAUCUUUUGCUACGCUCCCUCCCCUCCUAACCCAUAGACAUUUACACAUGAAGUUUCCUUGGGAUGAAACUUGUAGAAACUUUGCUCAUGAACUGCGAUCUUAAUAAUCUUGCCAUAAAUUAACGGCGAAUCUUAGUUGAAUUUUCACAUAUACUUCUGAAUUUGGACAAUAUAGUAGAUCAUGAUCUGUUUCUGUUGGAUGGAGUGUUAAAUCGUACUAAGUUUUUUAUUAGAGUCUCUAUAGCCAAUCAUAAGAUUCGAUCUAUUCAGCUUAAAAAUAGUAGAUAUGCAAAGCAACGCAAAGCUUAGUCUCAGCGAUCGACAACACUAUCAUCUUCGAGUCGUAAAUAGCACUUCAAAUCCUUCACUAACUAGCUACUGAAAGAACAGAUCGAGCUCACAUUAGGACGAUUUAACUCCUCACCUGAAUAGGUUUCGGCCCGUACUUGAAGAGUGUCCCCCGGAGCUGCUUCUUGCGGCUACCGGAGCCGGACAUGUCGACGAAGGAGGCGGCGCCGCCUCCUCCUCCUCCUCCUCCUCCGCCGCCGCCGCCGCCGCCGCUUCCACCGCCGCCGGAGCCGGAGAAGGAGGAGGAGGCGGCAGAGGAUUUGGCGGAGCGGGAGCGGACGAUGCCGGAGAACCAAGAGGGGGCGGAGGAGGAGGAGGAGGAAGCGGCGGAGGGGUUCAUCAAUGGCGCAGGUGAAGAGGCAAUGGAGAGGUUGGGUUUUUUUUUUUUUUUGGGGGGGCGGGGGGGGUGGUGGGUGGGGGUGGGGUGUUUAAUUAUUGUGUCGGUGAGGAGAGUAGGGUGGAAACGAGCCGAGCUCGAGGCUUUUGUCAGCCUCAAAUUCGGCUUGAAAUAAUUUCGAGCCUAAAUCUAGGCUCAAGCUCGGCUUGAAAUUAAUAUCGAGCCGAGCUCGAGCGAGCCUAAUUCAAGUCGAGUCCGAGCUCCGAGCUCUAAACUAUAUACCCCUCAUACGUUCAGAUAUAUCUGAUCUACCCCUGCUUUUUUUUUCUUUCUAAAUGUCUCAUCAUGUUCACCGUUAUUCUAAAAUAUCUGCGUUAUCCUCUGUUAGUUAACUCGGGUUAAACAUGGGUUAAAUAUAUACUGAGUUAAAAUCUAAAUAAAAUACUUAUUUUGCCCCUACCAUAUUAUACUAAUUCCUUAAGUUAUCUCCUCAUCCUCUUCGUUAUUCUCCUUCUCCCUCCUCCCCUAUCGUCGUCCCCAACCCGACCCAACCCCAUCGUCGCAGAGAGGACGGCGACCCCUUCGACCCCCGCUCCUCCUUCCCCCGCCCCGCCUCGACUCCCUUUUGUCCCUCCGCGAGUCGUCCUCUCAGGCGUGUUCCGCUGGGCGACCACCUCCGUCCCUUGUCCCCUCCCGCGCGCCUCCACCGCCGCCAAUAUUCUCGCCUUUCGAAGGCAAGUCCGUGCCGUCCAGGAGCUCCUCCAUUCCAGGACGGCUCCUCCACGAGCUCCUCCUCGCGCUUCGUCGUCAUCGUCCUCCUCCUCCGCCGUCUUGGCCGUCGGAGCAAGAGGGCUACAGCGACGAUCUCAUCUCGCGAGCCGUCCGCGUGCCGGAUGGCAAGAGGGCGCGGUGUUGCGCGCGGAGGGGAGCUACGUGUGCGCGGUCACCGAGGCCAGUUUGCCUCGUGGACCGGCAUGAGAGGGAGGUCACGGUGGACUCCCUCCAUGUAUAUAUAUAAAUAAAUAUAUAAAUUAUGUUAUAUAUAUAAUUUUAUUUAUAUAAUAUAUUUAUAUAGUAUUUAUUUAUAUAACAGAAAUAUUAUUAUAUAUAUUUUAUUUAUAAUUUUUUAAUUAUUUAUUGAUAUUUUAAAUAUAUAACUCUUAUUAUUAAUAUAUAUUUUUAUAAUUUUAAAUAUUUUAAUCUAAUAUAAAAAUUAUAAUAAUAAAUAUAUUAGUAUUAUUUAUUAUAUAUUUUAUAUAGCUGAAUUUUUUAUUCGGAAAUUGUUAUUGGUGAACUAUAAUAUCCGUCAAAAUCACGUAUCUGAAAUAUGCCGAAUCAUUUUUUAGCCGUAUUUUCAACUAAUUUCAAAAUUAAGACGAAUUAUAUUGUACCGAAUUUUUACGAAUCGAGGAAUACUUAACUAAUACUCUAGCCGAAUACCGAUCCGAAUUAGCUGAAUUUUUUAUCCGAAUUUUUAAUUGGUGAAACGUAGUAAUAUACCGUCAUAAAUACGUAUCUGAAAUAAUUGCUGAAUUCGUUUUUUUAGGCACCGUAUUUUUCAACUAAUUUAAAAAUUAAGACGAAUUAUAUUCUGUACAACGCCAUUUUAAUAUCCGGAAUCCGAAUUAACUACUAUAACUCUUAGGCGAAUCCGAAUCGCCGAAUAGCUGAAUUUUUGUAUCAGCCGAAAUUUAAUUGUGUGACGUAUAAAUAUCUUGUAUAAAGUCACGUAUCUGAAAUAAUUCCGAAUUCGUUUUUUACCGUAUUUUUUAAUAUAUUUAAAAUAAAGAGAAUUAAAAAAUAUCUGUACCCGAAUUUUUACAGAAUCUGAAAUUAACUAACUAUACCUCUAAACCAAGUGUUGGUUUUAGCUGAGACGAUUACGAUCCAUCUGUUCAUGCAGCUCGCUCCCGGACGUGCUUUUUAAUUAAUAAUAAAAUUUGAUAUUUUGAAGGGCAAAUUAGAAAAGUUUGCCUAUAUGAAGGAUAUAUUAAGAACAAGUUGUACGCGUACAAAGGGUAUAUUUGAAAUGGAACAAAUGGUAAUUUUUCAGAGAAAACCAACAGCCUCACUGUACAAUCUUAACUACAGGGGUAUAUAAUAGAAAGACUUGGAACAUAAUAGGGUAUUUUCCAAUAUUUAGACCUUCUAAGAGGUCGGUAAUAAUAAAAAAAUCGGAAACUUUUCAGGCGGUAUAUAGGCAAUUGCCCGCUUAUAUAAUCAAUAGUGUUAAUUUUUAUAGAACUAUUACCUACAAUUUUGAAUGCAGCAUGUCAAUAGGUUCAAAUACAAAAUAUUGUAGAAUAACGAGUUUAGGAGUGACUGCCUGACUGGGUGAGGGUGCUUGACCUAGUUUAAAAUUCGCGGAAUUAUUGCGAAUAUUCGCUGAAUUAUUCGCGACAUUAUUAAAUCCGAAUUAAUACGGUUUCGCUCCGUUUACGAAUUUUUUCGAAGAAAGAGAAUUAUUCGCCGAUUUUUGGGCAGGCGACAGAAUUAUUGAAUAACUUACGGAAUUGACUUGCCGAAUUUAUGAAAAUAUGAAUAAAAAUUAAUAUUUUAUUUUUUAAUAUAAAUAUUUUAUAUUUUAUAUUUAUAUUUUAUAUUUUAUACCGAUUCGUUUUUUAAACAGAAUUUUUCAACGAAUUUAAAAUUAGAAAUAAAUUUACGUAUAUAUAUUCGUAGUCGAAUUAUAUGCCAAGAUCCGAUAACUAACUAUGGGUAUGAGAGGAGAUGAGAGAGAUGAGGAGGAGAGAAGGGGCGAAAAAAAUUUAGGAAUUUGAAAAUUGAAUGUUGUUAUUUGUUAGGUUUCGCUGCAACAGUUAGAAAGUCUGUAGAAGAGAGAUGUGAUGUAAUGUAAAUUUUAGAGUUGGCUCAUUGCACGGUUGUAUUUAUUUGGAGUUUAUUUUACUAGGCAAGGCCAAAAAUAAAUUAAAACAUAAUAUAAUUAAAAUUACAUAUAUAUAUUAUAUUAUAGCUAAUAUAUAUAAUAUAUAUAUAUAUAUAUUCGAGCUUUUCGAGCUUUUCGAGCCUAAUUCGAACGAGCCGAGUAAUACUCAAGCUCGGCUUGAAAUGAAUUUCGAGCCUUUUAUUUUGUUCAAGCUCGGCUCAUUUAAUUUCGAGUCGAGCUCGAGCGAGCCGAAUAUCAAGCCGAACACGAGUCGAACGCGAGCCGGCUCGCUCGUUUGCCAGCCCUAGGGAGGAGAGGAGCCUCCAACGGAUCGAGGUGGGGGAGGGGACGCCAAUGUACAUAAGGAGAACUCCAGGGGGUAAAUUACAUUGUUGCUGAUUUUUUUUUAUUAUUAUUGGGCCAGGAUUGCACAUUUGCACCUCUGUUCUUCGCGUAUUUACUUUUUAGAAAAAAUCUCAAAUAUAAUCCCUGUAGUUCAGGGUUUUCUCACUUUAGUAUUUUUUAUUUUAAAUUAUUUAUAUUUAUAAAUCUAUAUGAAGUCACAAUAUUUUUUGUCAUAUAACAUAUUAUCUUUCAUUCUCAUAAUUCAACUUUAAAUUAAACCACCUGUUUUAACGCCCAACUCUUCACAUUUCACCAACUGUCUCUAGAUCAAGUGGCAAAGAGCUUAGUGGUUGGUACCCGAGACCCAGGUUCGAAUCCUAGUUGAUUCACCAUCUCCACAUCUCCACUCCUCUAAUUAAAUGCAAGAUGCAACAUUUAAUUAUAUGCACCAUAUUAAUAUUCUAUUAAUGAGUGGAUUUUAUAACUUUAAUCAACUCCUUUCUCCAUUAAUCUCCCACCCUCUCUUUUGUAACUAUUUUGCAUGCACUAUAAAAAUUUUUUUUACCAUGUAACAUGUUACCCUUCAUUCUCAUAGCCCAAUUUAAAUCAAAUCACCUUCUCCUCUUCUCAACCCCCAAACCCUUCACCUCCCCACUCCUCUAAUUACAUGUAAGGUGCAACAAUUAAUUACACGCAUCAUAUUAAUAUUUUAUUAAUGAGUGGAUUUUAACUAUAAUUUUAUUUUUUUUAACAGUUGAAUUUAGUCAUGCAAAUUUACUGUACUUAACAUGGUAUAGCUUUCUAUAUAUCAAUAACCCGUAAAUAUAAAUUUUAUUUAAAUUUUUAAAUUUUACUUUUAUUAUCUACCCGCUGCAUCGCACGGGUCUCUAUGUACUAGUAUCAUUUAAGUAUCAUAUAAUUUUUCAUUAACUUUUUCGUUAAAUCAAUGAAAAAGUUAAAACUCCAUAGUGCUAAAAUAAAAAUGUUGUAAACUGUAUAAUACUAAAGUGAAUAUUCAAUAAACUACAGAGGUGUCUGAAAUUGUUUUUCUAUAUAUUUUAACAGAGAGGACAACGAAAAGAGAAAAACAAAAUCGUAGGGUAUUAAAGUCAGAAAGCAUUAAUAUUGGCUUAAAUGGGUCAGCAUCCUGCCCUGUGGCGGGAGGGCAUGUACGCCGAGUCACGUUCGAAAUGGUGUAAGGCUGGGUUGGGCUGAGUCAUGUUCGAAGUGGCGUGAGGCUGGUAGGGCCUAGUCACAAUCGAGAACCGUAGGUACUGUUUCUGUAUGUUUUAAGUGAAUUGGUUGUGUAUUUCUAACCGCUCGAGCUUUUGGAUUAAUGGUUAGCGCCAACGAUCCGACAUUAAACCAUAGGUGGGAUGUUUGAAGUUUUUCUUAAUAUUUAUAAUUUGUUUUGUAAUUACAUUAAGACUUUUUUUUACUAAUUAUUUUAAUUAAGCUUUUUAAUAAAGAUUAUUAGUUCAAAUAGAAAUUGUCAUUUCUACAUCAAAUUUCGGCCGUCCAGCAAGAAAUAAAUUUUGUCAUAUACCAAUUUAUACCUAGUUUAUUUAUGUACGUUAUAUUGAAUUCGAUUUAUCGCAAUAAGUCAAUUACGAUAAAUUUUUUAUGAUCUUAUUAAAAAUUUUUUGCAAUUUUAUUGAAAAACUGAGAAGCAUGUCUGUUAUGCUAAUUAUGAUUUAGAUAGAUUUUUUAGUGUGAGUUAAUAGACUUUAUGACCAAGAAUCUUAAUAAUUAUAAUAACUAAAAUAUAAAAAAAUAAUUAUAGAAUUUAAAAAACUUAAUCAACAAAAAAUUGAGAAAAAUGGUCCAAUUUUACUAACUCUAUUUUUGACUUUUGUAGCCUAUCAUAGCAUUACACUAAGACAGAGAAAAAUUUAAAGAAAUUAUAGUUUGAAGUGACUUGUGGAAACAAAUAUAGUUUAAAAUUAUAGUUUUAUAUGAUCUAGCUUGUAUCCAUAAAUUGUUUUCAGAAAUAUCAUGCAUUUUAUUUUUAAAAUAUAAAUUUGUUAUUAUAUUAUUAGAAUCGGAAAGUAAUUAGAUAUUUUAAGACUUUAUUUGUGAUAGCAGAAAAAUUAUAUUAUGCCAGGUGAAAAAAUACGACGCAAAUUUUUUCGAUUAUGUUAAAAAUUGCUAAAUUAUAUUUUUAUGUAUUUUUGUCCUAAUUUUAUUUUAUUUAUGAGCUUUAGAUGAGCCUCAAUAUUAAUUAGGCCCUAAAAAUAUUUUAAUAAAAUAGAAAUUUUAUUAUGAGAAUAAUUUACCUUCGUGUAAAACAAACCGAAAAGUUAUUUUCAGUGUGAUUGUCAUAAAACUAUUUUUUUCUAAAAAUAUUUUAAAUAUAUUCUGAAAAAAAUAAAAUUUUUGUUUUUCAAUAUUUUUUUGGCUAGAAAUGAAAAUUUAAGCUGCGUAAAAUUUUCUCAUUUAUUUUUUUCAUCGAAUCAAAUAAAAGUAGAUUUUUUUUCCUUUUCAAUCAAAUAAAUAUUAAUAAAAAUUAUUUUUUCUACAAACCAAAAGUUGUAAAAAGUAAAACUUUUUUUUUCAUCAAAUUUUUUUUUAUGAAAAUUAUUUUUUACCAUUUUUGAAAAAUGUAAAUUCGUGAACCAAACAUGCGCUGGUAUGAAAAGGAAAUGUCAUACACGUGUUAUUUUCUAAUUCGCCGUUGAAUCGAUGGACUUGGUCCUUCCAAAUAUCCGUCGUAUGGUUAGGUGUCUCUCUCAACCAAUUAAAAAAAGCUUUUAAUUUGGCUAAAAUACAGAAAAUCCCCUGUAAUUAUUUAUUUUUCAAAUUUUGGUCUCUCACUUUUAAAACUAUAAAUUUUUUACUUUCUCAAAAUUUCAAGCUGACGCAUUUAGCCUCUCCUCUUUAGUUAGAAUUCUAUCACUAUUUUAUUUAUUUUUUAUAAUUUUUACCGAAAAUAUUCUUAAAGAAUAACAAAUAUGUUUUUUUAAAAUUAUUUGUUUUAUAGAACAAGUAAGAGUAAUUUGAUCAUUUUGCUCUCCUUCUCUAUUAACAUCUUAAUUCUUAAAAAUAUUUUUAAAAUUUUAUAAAAAAACAUAUAAAUUUUUGAAAGUCAGAAAAAAAAUAAUAUCUAUAAAAUAUUUUCUUUAUUUUAAUCUUUUAAUUUUUUCGGCCAAAUGUAACCCCUACACUCUCCAACAAAAGUAAAAAUAUAGGUAGUCCUAAACCUAUUUUUCAGUUUAUCAAUUUUUUAGAUAACAUUAUAUCAAAGUCAAUUUUAAAUUUUUUUAUUUUGUGAGAUCGUGAUGGGUUAAAUUCCUAUCUAUUUUAUUAGAUUGAUCUUCUGAAAAACAACCUAAGUUUAAAAUUAUUUAAAAAUAAUUUUUUAAUUUUACUAUCCGAUCUUUGCGAAUAAUUUGAUUUGCUUUCUUAAAAAUAAUUAUAUACACUUGGUACAUCAAUCCAAAUAUUUAUACACUAUAUUUUAAUUUUUUAACUAAAAAAAUACUACAACUAAUUGGCCCAUAAAAAUCAAAUAAUUAAACCCAAGGACAUAAAAUGCUAGGCACUAGAAUCAAAAUUUGUAAAGAUUAGGGAGUUGAAGAAAAUAUACAUAGAUCUCUCAUCUCCAAAACUUUAGCUAUUUUUAUAAACAAGGGCUUAUAUUUUAAUUUUUGCAAUUAGGUGCCCUAAAUUUUAUCAAAUAGUUUAGUUGGUCUCUCUAUCCAAUUAAAUGUACUAAUUUUAUAGCUGUUUUGAUUAUAUGUCUUUCAUAUAAAGCUUUAAAUCAUAAAAAGUUAUUUUUUUUAUAUUCUAGCGUGUAAAAAAUAAUAAAAAUUAAAAGUAGGUUUAUACUAAUUUUCAAUCAUUAUUUUUAAUUAUCAAAUUGAGAGAAAAAAAAUAGGUUUAUUUAUAUUUUACAGUUUUACAGAAUUAUGUACACGACAUGAGAUCAGAAGAACAUCGGAUCAAAAUAAGUUUUUUUUUUUUUUUUUUUGACAAUUGAACAAGAAGGCAUGCAUUAGAAUAUAAAAAUAAUUUUUCUGUGUGUUUUUUAAGUUUUAUGAUGUUAUAUAUGAGACAUGCAGUCAAUGUGACAAUGUAAUUAGUAACUUGGAUUGAGCAGAGAGACUUAUUGAAUUAUUUGGUAAAUUUUAAAAUAUUUGCCUAUAAUUUUUAAUUUUUAUAUUAUUAUUUUUCUAGGCAAAGAUUAAGUAUCAUGGUAUGGAAUCGUACUGAAAACUCGCCGACACGUAAUAAUAUAAAAUAUUUAUUUUUUACUUUAGUAACAAAAUUUUCUAAUUAUUUAUUAUGUAUCUUUAUCGAAUAUUUUAAACUUUGUUGAAAAAUUACUUACUAAAUUAAAAAAAAUAAGGUUACUGUAUCAUAUCGGUAUUUUAUUAGUAUGAUAUAGUAUGGUAGAUACGGUCGUAACAAUGGACACUUAAAUUCUUGCUUUUAGGGUUAAUUGGAUUAUUGGUCCCCAAUCUUUACCAAAAUUUUAAUUCAUCCACCAAUCUUUAGAAUUAAAUUUUAGAAAAAACUUCAAAUACCACCUAUAUGGUUUCACACUUUUUCACUUUAAUACCCUGCAGUUUAAAGUGUAUUAAUUUAAUACCUGUGGUGCACGUUCUCACUUUAGUACUCUGUGAUUUAAACUGCAUCAAUUUUGUACCCUGUGGUUUCACACUUUCUCACUUUAGUACUCUGUGGUUUAAACUGUAUCAAUUUAGUACCAUGUGGUUUCAUUUUUCUUUUUUCGUUAGCUCCUCUGUUAAUAUUUUGUUUAAUUAUAUACAAGAAACUUCAGAUACCCUACCUAGAUUUAUCGAAUAUUUAUUUAGUACCCUUCAGUUUUAAUUUUGUCACUGAUUUUUUUUCCUUCAUUAAUAUUCGUUAAAUUAUAUACAAAAAAACUUUAGAUACCCUAUCUAGAUUUAUCGAAUAUUCACUUUAGUAUCAUUUAAUUUUAACUUUGUUACUGAUUUAACAAAAAAAACUAGUGAAAUGAUUAAUAAAAAGAGAUAAAUGAAACCACAUUAUACUAAUUUGAUACACUUUAAACUACAAGCUACUAAAGUGAGAAAGUGCGAAACCACAUGAGCUAACUUGAUACAAUUUAAACUACAGGGUACUAAAUUGAGAAAGUGUGAAACCACGGCGGGAUUUGAAGUUUACCCUAAAUUUUACUAUUAGUUUCUACUUUCUAGCUUUUACCUUUUUUUUUUUUUUUUUUUUUUUAGACCCCAACCUCUUCUUUCAUAGUAUGUAUGUCCAUCCCAUCAAGCUUAAAUCUUGCCGCCCUCAAUACUAUCCUCUGUAUCUACAAAACAACAACCGUCUUGACCUCACACACGACACUUUUUUCUUCUGUUAAAAUAUGCGAUAUUCUAUACAUCGAGCUAUAUAUACUAUCAAACUCUUUCAAAAUAUAUUAAAAAAAAAUUUUUUUUAGACCCAAACCUCUUCUUUCAUAGUAUGUAUGUCCAUUCCAUUAAGCUUAAAUCUUACUGCCCUCAAUACUAUCAUCUGUAUCUACAAAACUACAACCGUCUUGACCUCACACACGACACUUUUUUCUUCUGUUGAAGCAUGCGAUAUUCUAUACGUCGAGCUAAACAUGCUAUCAAACUCUUUCAAAAUAUAUAAACAAAAAAUAUCGAUAUUGAGAUCGGCAAAGUGUUAUCACGCCACGAUCAUAAUCAAUAUGAGUAAACAAAACUUUAUAUGGAAAUUGACAUGGCUUAUUUUAUCAAAAUCAAUGAGAAUUUGAAUAAAAUGGAAUCUAACUGAAACAAAAUAUAAAUUUUGAAGGACCAAAUAGCAGAACAAAAAGUUAGUACCAUAGUUUAAAAUGUAAAAAGGUUAGGGACAAAGGUGCAAUUAACCUUCAUUUUUGCUUUUUUAUUUGUGAGUCGACGAAUACUCCGAAAACAGUCGUUCUCUUUGCGUAAACUUCGACUCCAAGACUCUCUGCUACUUCUUCGUCUCCUCCUCUCUUUUACUUCAAAAAAAAAAAAAAAAAAAAAAAAAAAACUCCUUUUUCACAAAUCCCUUAAAGAAAAAGAGAUCAUGGCCUUCAAAUCCGUAUUUAAGGCUCUGCGAGAUGUUUUUCCUCAGGUAAAUUAGGCUAAUUUUGUAGAAUUAUUAGGUAUUUUCCGAUCCUUUUUGUCUCCUCCCAAAUAUUCACAAUCGGGUCGAUUCUGGUUGUCGCUUGCUAAUAUUUUGUUUUGAUUAUCAUUAGUUGUUUGAUAAUUUGAUGUGUUAUCUGAUUUAGAAUUGUUUUUUUUUUUUUUUUCCAUUUGAUCUAUUAUUUUAUUACUGACUUAUCAUCCUGUGUUUCUGCCAAAAGAAAGAAUCUUCGUUUUUUGCAUAGAUGAUCAUUUUGAAUCUAAAUUUACUUUGAUGGUUUCAGUAAUUUGUGCUUGUUGAAUGCAAAAUAUCGUAAUCCGGCUCUCCAGAAGCUUAAGUUUUUAGAGACGAUCAGUUUUGUUCGACAUGGUAUCAGAGCAAGAGGUCGUGGUUUUUGAGUUUUUCGAGAACAUGAGAGGAGUUUUGAAUGCGAAGUAUUGAAAUUCUUUUUCUAAAAUCUUAAAAUUUUGGAGACAAAGGGCUGUUUACAGUAAUCAAGAUAGGCACAUUGAACUUGUGUGUAUAUAUCUUUCUUGGGCAAAUUUCAUGUAGGUUGGUUUAUUUUUACUUUGUCAUCGUGUAGUUUAAAAAUUUACGCUUAAUUAUCAUGUGGUUAUCAAAAAAUUUCACUUUGGUAUCCUAUUUGAUAGUAGAUUUUUCGGAUAAAAAUAGAGAUAAAGCUACAGAAUAGUUAAGUGCAACUUUUGAAUCAUAUGAUGACAAAGUAGAAAUGAGCUAAAGCUCAUGGGGGCAAAUUGAAGUUUACUCAUCCGUUAUUAAAUAACAAUGGAGAAUGUCGAACAUAUCAGAAAUAGUUUGAUUCGGCGAGACGAAUGAUUAUUUCUGUUCUUGUUUCUUCCCCGGUGCAAGAGCGGCGAAGACCGUCUGUCGGCGCUUUCAGCAACUACGUAGAACUCCAAGAGAAACAAAUGCAGUAUUAUGAUGCAUGUUCUGCGUAGUUGCUGCAUUGUUACAACAUCUUUUGCUUUCUCACUGACCAUCGACUGCUUUUCUUCUGUUUCCGAUCAGAUUGAUCUUCGCAUCUUGAAGGCUGUCGCCAGCGAAUAUUACGAAGAUGUUGAUGCAGCUGUUGAAUUUGUUCUCUCUGAAGUUCUGCCGACGCUAAGUGAACCGACUGAACCACAUUACAAUCUGCAUGUUUUUGACGAUGCUGAACAUUCUCAUAGCAAUUGUAAGUAAACAUUUACGAACUCGGAUUAUGAUAAAGCUACUACCUAGGAUGUUUUAAUUACCAUAUGGUUUAAUAAUGGUUUGGUGUCGUGCUGUAACCGUUGGUGCAUUGCUGAAUUGAAAUUAAUGCGUAUAGACGCACUAAUGUGCUUCUUUUGAAUUACUAACGGUAAAGACUUGUUGAAUGUGUAGCUGGGAUGCACGGGAAUGACAAGGUAUCGGGAAAUCAAAGUUUUGAGGAUGGCGUUGCUCUGGUUAUGGAACCUUUAACCAAAGGUAAAAAUGUUGUACGCGACGACGAUACAUCUGCGACUCCUGGUUGGGCCCAACUCUUGGAUAAUGGUGUGAGAAGAAGUUUUCCAGUUGAAGAUUUAGCUCCAUCUAACGAGUCAAAAUUGCCGUCGACGCAAGAAGUUGAAGCAUAUAUGAACACGCAAUCUGAAUCACAAUUUGUGGAGCGUGAGCCACAUCUUGUUGCUGGCCACAAAGCCGUUCCUUUGCAAUCAGAACCAAUCUCCAUUGGUGAAUUAGAAGCUUCUGCUUCUCUUUCUAAUCUCAUCAAUCAUGGCGAAAUCUCCAACAAGGAAUCAACUAAUGAUUUUAAGUUGGUGGACAGUGCAGUCCUACUUGAACAAAAUUUUGAAGCUGAAACCAGACCAAUUUCUCCAGCUUUUCACGCCAAUGUUCAGGAUAUUUUGUCGUUAUAUCCUGAGAUGAACAUUAACAGUACUGCUCAGAGUUCGGCUGAAUUCGAGUCUGCAGUAAAGCUGGUUUGCACUGGUUAUGAUAAUCAAUCUUCAGGUGUAGCUACACAGUCGAGCCAGAGUGUACAAGUUGAUCUUCUGGAUGAGUUAAUUUCUGAUAUGACAAAGAGCAAGGUAAUGAUUUUCAUGAUCUUGAUCUUUAGUUUGGCGAUUUAGUGUGUAAAAGCCAUGCAGUUGUUCAUUCUCUUAUUUACCUGCUGUUAGUUCUUCUAACCUGAAAUAGAGUUUAUUAGUCUAAAAACUGCAGUGGAACACUAUAUAUUCAUUAUUUAUUAUCAUGAUAUACUCUGAUACCUGUUUUUGGUAUACUGGAAGUUUUGCACUUGUUUUUAACUAGUGAGAAAUUUGCAACACUCAAAACUAAUUGCAAUCUCAGAAUUUAAAGUUGCUAGUGUGCUUGCCCUCAAGUUGCUAGAAAUUGCAACUCCAUAGUAUCAUGAAGGUCGGCAAAAAUCCACCAAUCUUAGAAAGUCAGCACAAGAGAGAUUUGAGGCAAACAGAAGUCUUAAAACCUGGGGUCGCCUGCUUUGUUCCUUACAUGAGAAAUUCUAAUCAAUUAUAAGGAAGUUCUGAUCGAUCUUGAACUGCUGAGACAAUGACUUGUUUAUCACCACUAAUGGGCUUGAAUGGCUUGCCAAAACCUUAUGUAAGUCAAUGAUUUUAAAGAUUACAAGGUACUUCUACUUUGUAAUUUAGAAUAGUUCGUUUAAUAUAAAAUUGGUGUUGGCCAAAUGUAAAUUUGUAUCUUUAAAUUAGUUUUAUCUUGGUUCUGUUUUAUUUGUUGCUGUGAAACUAUAAAACUUAAAUGCUGGAUUUCCAUAGUUACAGAUAUUUUGCCUAAUUAUAAUAAUUAUUUUUUGCAUGACUGCAAUCUCUGGUCAUAUCAUUGUGAAUCUUUUUUUUUUUUUUUUGAUUAUCUGAGUUAUAAUGAUGAAUAGCAUAGUUGUCCCAAUAAGCCUAUGCUUCCCUUGUACAAUAGCCUCAAGACUGGCUUAUAGAAAUUCUGAUCUCGUCUAAAACUGAUGAAAACAGGAAACAUUUGGUGCUGCUUUGGAAUCUACAAUUACUAAAAUGAAAGAAGUAGAGAUUCAUGAGGAAAAGGCUAAACGGACGAAAGAAGAAGCUGCCAUGGCUGAUCAAGAUAUUCUCGCCAAGAUAGAGGACCUUGGCCAAAUGAUUAAGAGUGCCCAAGAAUCAAAUGAUAAGGUUAUUUCCUUUUGAUGUUCCUCAUUCUUUUCGGGUAGGUUCAUUACUAUUCAAAUAGAGAGUAACACUGUUCAUAUGUUAGCAGCAAGCUGGAGAAGUUAAUAUGGAGAAAUAUCAAUUAAAAUGUCAAGCUGAGGAGCUUCAGUGCCGCCUUAUCGAUUUGUCAGCUCAGCGAGAGAAUUCUCUUUUACUUGUCGAGGAGGUGAGAAUCUCCUUCUUCUAAAAGAUUUAACUAUUUAGCAUCAAUUCCUGUUUUCUAUGCAGUAUCAACUUUCUAACUGAUCGAGGGAGUUUUCCUUGAGUAACGGUUUUAGUAAUUAUUAUAGGGGCAAUUGCUUAUAUACCCCUGAAAAGUACUUGACUUUCUUAUUUACCCCUCUUAGAAAGCUAAUAUUGAAAAUACCCUUUCCACGUUCUAAUCUAUUUCUAAUAUAUCCCUAGAGUUAAAAUCUGUUAAUUAACUCUGUUAUCUCUGUAAAAUUACUAUUUUGCUCUUUCAAAUAUACCCUUCCACCAUCACUGACUUUCUUAUUUGCCCUUAAAGUCAGGGGCACAAAAAGUAUUUUGAUUUUUGGUCAUUUCCAAAAUACCCCUCUACCGUCACCAACAUUUCUUAUUUGCCCUUAAGUUAAGGGCAAAAUUGGUAUUUUAAUUUUUUUUAACUGUGGUAGAUAUUUAACUCACGUUUAACCCAAGUUAACUUAACAGGAAAUAACUGCGGGGGUAUUUUGCAAUAACGGUGGAACAUAUGAGGGGUAUUUUAAAAAGAAAAAAAAAAAGUAGGGGUAAAUCGGAUAUUUUCAAACGUAUG
rnacentral:lncRNA from 1 species